rnacentral:rRNA from 1 species
CCUACGGGAGGCUGCAGUGAGGAAUAUUGGUCAAUGGACGAGAGUCUGAACCAGCCAAGUAGCGUGAAGGAUGACUGCCCUAUGGGUUGUAAACUUCUUUUAUAUGGGAAUGAAAUGUUCCACGUGUGGGAUUUUGUAUGUACCAUUUGAAUAAGGAUCGGCUAACUCCGUGCAAGCAGCCGCGGUAAUACGGAGGAUCCGAGCGUUAUCCGGGUUUAUUGGGUUUAAAGGGAGCGUAGGUGGAUUGUUAAGUCAGUUGUGAAAGUUUGCGGCUCAACCGUAAGAUUGCAGUUGAAACUGGCAGUCUUGAGUACAGUAGAGGUGAGCGGAAUUCGUGGUGUAGCGGUGAAAUGCGUAGAUAUCACGAAGAACUCCGAUGGCGAAGGCAGCUCACUGGACUGCAACUGACGCUGAGGAACGAAAGCCAGGGUAGCAAAUGGGAUUAGAUACCCCGGUAGUC